UACGGGGGGGGCAAGCGUUGUUCGGAAUUACUGGGCGUAAAGGGCUCGUAGGCGGCCAACUAAGUCAGACGUGAAAUCCCCAGGCUUAACCUGGGAACUGCGUCUGAUACUGGAUGGCUUGAAUUCGGGAGAGGGAUGCAGAAUUCCAGGUGUAGCGGUGAAAUGCGUAGAUAUCUGGAGGAAUACCGGUGGCGAAGGCGGCAUCCUGGACCGAGAUUGACACUGAUGAGCGAAAGCCAGGGGAGCAAACGGG
rnacentral:rRNA from 1 species